GGGGCUGACUGGCUUUGACAGCGUGUAGAAGCGGUAAGCAAGCAUGCAGAGCCUUGAUGCGUAAGCUCUUUAAUACCGACGUAUCGAACUAUAAUUGGCGAAAAUAACAAUUACGCUCUCGCUGCGUGAUCUGAAGCACAGUAGGAU
rnacentral:tmRNA from 1 species